AUGUCUGCAUGCAGAUGUGCAACCAGUCAGCACAUAAACCUUGAGCAAGGUUUGCUAGAGAAACCAAGCUACAGAACUACUCUUGUCAUUAAUGGCAUUAAUUAAGAAGGACACAGAGCUGCUGGAGUAAGUCCAGAGGAGGCCACAAAGAUGAUCCAGGGGCUGGAGCACCUCUGCUGUGAGGACAGGCUGAGGGAGCUGGGGGUGUGCAGCCUGGAGAAAGUAAGAUUUCAAGGGGACCUUAGAGCUGCCUUCCAGUGCCUGAAAGGAUCUUGCAAGAAGGCUGCAGAGGGACUUUUCCUAUGGGUGUCUGGAGACAGGGCAAGGGGGAAUAGUUUGAAGUUGAGGGAGAGCAGGGUUAGACCUGAACUGAGGAAAAUGUUCUUCGUUGUGAGGGUGGUGGGACUCUGGAAUAGGUUGUCUGGGAAGGCUGUGGACUUUUGAGCAGGGCUUAUUUUGCCAGGACGAGGGGUGAUAGUUUGAACCAAAAGAGGGAGAUUUAAUAAUGAGUGAUUCAAAUAGGCUGUGCCAUGUCUCCUGCCAGAAGGGGCCUUACCAGCAGAGUCUGCUGCCUGUUAUUCCGGUCUGAGUUGCAGGGAGCUCAGUUUGGUUUGUGAGGUCUGACGUUCCCACAGGCUAGCUCAGAGGAGUUAGAGAAGGAAUUACGGAGAAAUUAGAUCAGUUUCGUUUAAGCAGUACUUGAAGUGCCCCAUAGGCUUGCCCAUUUUGUCUUUACAAGCUUGCUUUCAUCCCUUAUCUCUGCUGCAAGCUCGUCCCCACACACAUCAUUAAAUGUUGAGUAAUUACAGCAGGGAGGCCUGCGGGAGGACAAGCACUGCUUCUCCUGGUGGCUGGAAGAGGACUUGGACAUUUCUUGAAUCAGUCCUUUUUAUUCAGAUUGCCUGUUCCAGUGGCUUUUGUUGUAUUCAACCAGGAUAUGGCAACUUCAGCGAGGGGAAAAUGGCAGGGUAGAACUGAUGUGACACCUGUAAGCUGGUCAGGAAAUACCCUGCGUUUGGAACGUUUCAUGUCAAACGUUAGAGCAGCAGUGGCAGCUUCCUGGUUUUCCAUGCAAAGAGAAGUAAUGGGGAGCUGCUGACUGAAGAAGGCUGCCAGCUCCUUUCAGUCACGUAUUUGGUACUACAAAGGUGGCAUUAUUAAAGGCAGACAAAAAAGCCUCUUAAUCAUGCAGCCAAACUGAGCUCUAGGAGCUGAAAAACGCUUCCCUUGUGCACUCCUAAACCUCGCUAAGAACUAACUGCUGUCCCUAUUUGCAGGCUUUUCUGCAGCAUUUUGGCUGAAAACAGAUAAGAGAUUCUAUCCCUCUGAGCACUUAAAUCUGGGACUCAGGAACUUUCCCCACUGCUGCUGCCAGACAUCCUGACCUUCCUUCAGAGCAGAUGGCAAAACAACAGCAAAACAGCACUGCAUUUGGUGCCUAAACCUGCAGAUUGUCACUGUAGAUAGUGGCUGGCAUAAAAAUCUGAUGGUUCUGCUUACAGCAAAAAUCUGGUGCUGCAGAACUUGCUUUUGUUGUAUCACCGGCACUACCCUUAGUAGCUGAAUACCUGUGGGCACGUAGCAGGUAAGUGCUGAAUACUUGUGCAAGGAACAGGACAGUUUGCACAGCUUGAAGGUGUCUUGGGAUCAAACCUCUGCCAUGUGAUGUUGGUGAAACUGUGCAGGCUAUCGUGGGAAACAAAGAAAGUGUUGGACACAGAAUGCUCCCAGCCCCUGCUGUGCUUGUGUGUGCAGCACACCUCUCCCCGCACGUGUGUACACUGCGUGCACACCUGCACACACCCUUAAGUGAAGUGAUUUGGUGUCACCUGGAGUAAAAGACUUCCCUCACAGGGCUGUUUCUCAAGCCUGCUUAUCGAAUUUGUCUGUCUCUUGCAAGCUGUAACUAGCUCUGUAAAGAAAUGCAUCCCUGUGCCAGUCUCCAGGAGCACAUCCAGUUUUGCUACAAAGAGCUGUGUUGUACUGCUGUACACUAAGUGCAAACUGAGGGCCAGAUGCUGCACCUUCAAGAGGCAGAGCAAAAGUGAUUUUUAAGACGUUGCUUUAAUCUCAGAGAUUUAAAUGCAACAGUUGGCUUAAUCUCUAGUAUACGUUUUCAGUAUUUUCCUUCAGUUUAGUAUUUUGGGUCAGUAUAAAAUCUGUGACUCUAACACUAACUCUCUUGCUUUCUUCCCUGUUCCUUCUGCUCUUGCUGGGAGCCGCUGUGGACAUCAAAGAAAUGAGUUAACAGGCACAUUGCAGCUUAGAAAUUCUAUACCUGGCCAAAAUGAAGGGAAGAGUCCUUCCUUCUCAUUCUGCUUGCGCUUCUGUGGUGCCCCUAAAGGAUGGAAGCAGAAGGUCUAAAACCAUUCUAAAAGCUGAAGCCUGCAUUUUAAAAUGAUCUGCAUAGAAACCAGCUCCUCUCCUCUCCUCUCUUGGGGUCUUGUGCAGUGAGUAGGUGAAAGGCUCCGUGUCUGUGGAGCUCACUCACAGGCCAGUGCAUGCAUACACAACUGAAUUCUCUUUUCUUGGUGAUUGAUUUUUCACAUGUCCUGCGAGAUUGCCAUGGUUCUGAAGCUCUAGGCUCCAGCCUUGCAAACACAGUCACUUCUCUCCAGACGACCAGUUUCAAUUAGGACAGCAAAGCUUGGGCUGCUCACUUGAAAGCAACGAAGCUGGUAACAGCUUAUUUCCAUGGACAGACACAGUCCUACAAACAAACAGUGCUGUUUCUCACUGUAUCCAGCAUGCCAGCCCAGAUUCACCUCAUGCUGGCUUAGCCAUCUCCCUGCAGCUCCAGUGGCAGGAGCCUGGCUGCCCUAGGCUCCCUCUGCAGUCAGUGAGAAGAGACAAGCAUCUUGAGCAGUGAUUCAUGGACCACACCAAAGAUCUGAAUCACUCCCAUGGAGUGGCUCUCUUGCUCCACUGAUUACAGAGGCAGCCAAGGGUAAAUUGGUUCAUGAUGUAGGUGGUCAGCCACGUGGAAUGUAUCCAAACCUGUUCUACUUAGGCAGGAGCUGCAUUAUCACAGUUCUUGAAUGCAGACAGUUUCUUCUUCCAAUAUUGUUUAUAACUGUGUCACAUGAAUCUGGCCUUUCCUAAAAGCAUUCUUUUUUAGCAAAAUGUGUAGCCAAAUAAGUCACAGCCCUAUUGCCCUGAACUGGCUUCACUGUUAGGUAAAUACCCAUCACUAUAGUUCCAAAAAACCUGAAAUCAGAAUGCUCACUCAGUGUAGACUGCAUUUGCAUUGGGUGUCAGGGGUGCAUUUCACUCCAGAUAGAAAUAAAUUGUACUUUGCUUUAGAAAUUCUUUUUAGCUCAAGGGGAUUUCUGCUGCUGUAUAUCCAUACACAAAAAAAGCACAACAGCUGCAAAAAGUCUGAACUGCAAAUUGCACAACUGAAGCUGCAACCCUCUUUGAGUUCAGAGGAUUUGUACUCGAGUGGGUAGAUAUGGUUUGGGUUGCUGGAAUAGCAACCAAAUAGCAGCUAAAUAUGGGAAACAAUGAUGGUCUGGACAGAGGUAUGAUUCCCAUUAAAAUAAAUAAUGGCAGUUCAUCUGGUCUCUCAAAA